CAAAAUGCUUAGUAACACGUUACUAAUCUGCCCAUUGGUCUGGGAUAGCCUCGGGAAACUGAGGGUAAUACCGGAUAGAAAACUUCGUCUGGAAUGACUUGUUUUUGAAAGAUUACGCCAAUGGAUGAGGUAGCGGCUGAUUAGGUUGUUGGUAGGGUAAUGGCCUACCAAGCCGAUGAUCAGUAGGGGCCAUGAAAGUGGGAGCCCCAAGAAGGACACUGAGAUACUGGUCCUAGCCCUACGGGGUGCAGCAGGCGCGGAACCUCUACAAUGCACGAAAGUGUGAUAGGGGAACCCUAAGUGCUCAUGUUUUGCAUGGGCUUUUCUUAUGCGUAAAAUGCAUGGGGAAUAAGUGGUGGGUAAGACUGGUGCCAGCAGCCGCGGUAACACCAGCGCCACGAGUGGCAAUCGUUUAUUUGGCCUAAAGCGUCCGUAGUUGGUUUGGUAAAUCUCUAGUGAAAUCGAUCAGCUUAACUGAUCGGCGUGCUGGAGACACUGCCUUACUUGGAACCGGGAGGAGUCAAGAGUAUGCCUUGGGGAGCGGUAAAAUGUGAUAAUCCAAGGCGGACUACCUGUGGCGAAGGCGCUUGACUAGAACGGAUUCGACAAUCAGGGACGAAGGCUAGGGGAGCAAACCGGAUUAGAUACCCGAGUAGUCCUAGCAGUAAACUCUGCGAACUAGGUGUUGCAUAUACUAUUGGUAUAUGCAGUAUCGAAGCGAAGGCGAUAAGUUCGCCGCCUGGGAAGUACUGUCGCAAGACUGAAACUUAAAGGAAUUGGCGGGGGAGCACUACAACGGGUGCGGCGUGCGGUUUAAUCCAACUCAACACGGAAAAUCUCACCAGAGGCGCCGGCAGUAUGAAGGUCUAGCUAAAGACUAUACCUGACGAGCCGAGAGGUAGUGCAUGGCCGUCGUCAGCUCGUGCCGUAAGGUGUCCUGUUAAGUCAGGUAACGAGCGAGACCUGCAUCCACAAUUGGCAGCGACAGAUUUUUCUGGAUCGGUCACAUUGUGGGGACUGCCCGUGAAAACGGGAGGAAGGUGCAGGCAACGGUAGGUCUGUAUGCUCCGAAUCCUCUGGGCUACACGCGCGCAACAAUGGCUAUGACAAUGGGAUACUACUCCGAAAGGAGACGUUAAUCCUCUAAACAUAUUCCAAGUACAAAUUGAGGGUUGUAACUCACCCUCAUGAAGCUGGAAUCCGU
rnacentral:rRNA from 1 species